CUCAUGAAAGGGUGGUCAGUACUCAAGAAAAGAAUAUGCACUACUGUUUAAAAAAUAGCACACAUCUAUAUCCCUACACAGUAAAUGAACUUAUUUUACAAUAUUUUCUUAUUUAUAAAUGCAUGCCUCUUAUUCUUACUUCCAAAUUUAUAUGCACUCAUUUACUCAUUCAUUUAUUCUCUCUAACAUUUAUUAUCCAUAUUGUUAUUACACGUCAGUUCAGUGUUUCCCAACCAUGGUGCAAUGAGAUUGGCCGGGAGUAACAUCAUGCAAGAUAUUUUGGAGAUAAAAGUAUAUUUUAGAAAACAAAACCAAAGACUUACACUGCCAAAAGUUAAUACAAU
rnacentral:lncRNA from 1 species